UACGUAGGGGGCAAGCGUUGUCCGGAUUUAUUGGGCGUAAAGAGCGUGUAGGCGGCCUGACAGGUCUGCUGUGAAAACUCGAGGCUCAACCUCGAGAUGUCGGCGGAAACCGUCUGGCUAGAGUCCGGAAGAGGAGAGUGGAAUUCCUGGUGUAGCGGUGAAAUGCGCAGAUAUCAGGAAGAACACCUAUGGCGAAGGCAGCUCUCUGGGACGGUACUGACGCUGAGAAGCGAAAGCAUGGGGAGCGAACGGG
rnacentral:rRNA from 1 species